rnacentral:rRNA from 1 species
GCCAACAGCCACACCACCCUGAAAGCUCCCGAUUUUGUCUAAUCUCGGAAGUGAUCCAGGGCCGGGCCUGGUUAGUACUUGGAUGGGAGUCUGCCUGGGAAUACCAGGAGUCGUAGGCU